rnacentral:rRNA from 1 species
UACGGGGGGUGCAAGCGUUGUUCGGAUUUACUGGGCGUAAAGGGCGCGUAGGCGGCCACUGCAAGUCGGUUGUGAAAUCUCCGGGCUUAACCCGGAAAGGUCAAUCGAUACUGCAGGGCUAGAGUGCAGAAGGGGCAACUGGAAUUCUCGGUGUAGCGGUGAAAUGCGUAGAUAUCGAGAGGAACACCUGCGGCGAAGGCGGGUUGCUGGGCUGACACUGACGCUGAAGCGCGAAAGCUAGGGGAGCGAACGGG